rnacentral:rRNA from 1 species
AAUAUUUGACAAUGGGGGCAACGCUGAUCCAGCCAUGCCGCGUGUGUGAAGAAGGUCUUCGGUUUGUAACGCACUUUAAGUUGGGAGGAAGGGCUUUAGGCUAAUACCCUGAAGUCUUGACGUUAGCAAUCGAAUAAGCACCGGCCACCUCUGUGCCAGCAGCCGCGGUAAUACGGAGGGUGCAAGCGUUAAUCGGAAUUACUGGGCGUAAAGCACGCGUAGGUGGUUCAGUAAGAUGGGUGUGAAAUCCCCGGGCUUAACCUGGGAACUGCUUUCAUAACUGCUGAGCUAGAGUACGGUAGAGGGUAGUGGAAUUUCCUGUGUAGCGGUGAAAUGCGUAGAUAUAGGAAGGAACACCAGUGGCGAAGGCGACUACCUGGACUGAUACUGACACUGAGGUGCGAAAGCGUGGGGAGCAAACA